rnacentral:sRNA from 1 species
AGCAGCCGCGGUAAUUCCAGCUCCAAUAGCGUAUAUUAAAGUUGUUGCAGUUAAAAAGCUCGUAGUUGAAUUUCGGGAUUGACACAUCGGUCGUGCCUUAAGGGGUAUGAACUGGUGUAGUCAAUUUCUCACCUUCUGGAGAACCGCGAUGCCCUUAAUUGGGUGUCACGGGGAACCAGGACCUUUACUUUGAAAAAUUAGAGUGUUUAAAGCAGGCAUUUUGCUUGAAUACAUUAGCAUGGAAUAAUAAAAUAGGACGGCAUGAUUCUAUUUUGCUGGUUUCUAGGAUCACCGUAAUGAUUAAUAGGGAUAGUUGGGGGCAUUAGUAUUCAAUUGUCAGAGGUGAAAUUCUUGGAUUUAUUGAAGACUAACUACUGCGAAAGCAUUUGCCAAGGAUGUUUUCAUUAAUCAAGAACGAAAGUUAGGGGAUCGAAGACGAUCAGAUACCGUCGUAGUCUUAACCAUAAACUACGCCGACUAGGAAUCAGACGAUGUUAAUUUUUA